UAUCCUGCAGAAUGUUACAUCAUCAUUUACCCAGGGAGUUACUCAUCUCAUAUCUAAACAAACUGAAUAUGCGGAGAAUUUUAGGACUUGUAUGUGCGCUUUCCUCUUUUUGUGUAGGAAAAGAACCAAAGUGUUCCGGCUACCGCUGUGAGGAACUACUAGCAAAAAUAGAUAAACUGGAAUGUAGACUGGAAUACACUAGGGAACUGUUGGAAGAUAAGGAAAAGACGCGAGUUGCUCCCGUUCGAAUCCCAGCAUGUGCGCAGUGCCCAGAUACAUGGAUACAAUACAAAGGAUCUUGCUACCAUUUUGUUGCUGCGAAUAAUACAUUCAGCCGAGCCGAGUCACACUGUCUUGGUCUUGGAGCUCAUUUAGUACACAUAGAAAAUGGUCUAGAAACGAGUUCAUAAGGAGCCAACUGAGAACGUUGAAAGAGAAAGAGUACUGGAUAGGACUCACAGACGCUGACACAGAAGGAACAUUCAAAUGGGUAGACGACAAUUCCACAGCAUCAUUCACAGACUGGUACAAAUUGCAGCCUGAUAAUGGCGCAGGACGCGAACAUUGUGUGCAUUUCAGAGAU